rnacentral:rRNA from 1 species
GUANGGUGCGAGCGUUAAUCGGAAUUACUGGGCGUAAAGCGUGCGCAGGCGGUUCGUUGUGUCGGCGGUGAAAGCCCCGGGCUUAACCUGGGAAUGGCCGUUGAAACUGGCGAACUGGAGUGUGGCAGAGGGGGGUGGAAUUCCGCGUGUAGCAGUGAAAUGCGUAGAGAUGCGGAGGAACACCGAUGGCGAAGGCAGCCCCCUGGGCUAACACUGACGCUCAGGCACGAAAGCGUGGGGAGCAAACAGGAUUAGAUACCCUGGUAGUCCACGCCCUAAACCAUGUCAACUGGGUGUUCGGGAAGCGAUUUCUGAGUACCGUAGCUAACGCGUGAAGUUGACCGCCUGGGGAGUACGGCCGCAAGGUUA